rnacentral:sRNA from 1 species
ACUCAUUUUUCGUAGCAUAUCAUAUAUACAGUCAACUAGAAAUGACGGUAUAUAUGAUAUGCUACGAAAAAUGAGUU